rfam:Sphaerulina musiva SO2202 unplaced genomic scaffold SEPMTscaffold_1, whole genome shotgun sequence.
GGAGGUUUGGCCGAGUGGUUAUGGCGUGUGACUCAAGUUUCGACUUAUCCAACACAGUUGGAGAGCAUUCUCAUGGGCUUUGCCCGCGAGGGUUCGAAUCCCUCAGCCUUCA